rnacentral:rRNA from 1 species
UACGGGGGGGGCAAGCGUUGUUCGGAAUUACUGGGCGUAAAGCGUGCGCAGGCGGUGAUGUAAGACAGAUGUGAAAUCCCAGGGCUCAACCUUGGAACUGCAUUUGUGACUGCAUCGCUGGAGUGCGGCAGAGGGGGAUGGAAUUCCGCGUGUAGCAGUGAAAUGCGUAGAUAUGCGGAGGAACACCGAUGGCGAAGGCAAUCCCCUGGGCCUGCACUGACGCUCAUGCACGAAAGCGUGGGGAGCAAACAGG